rnacentral:rRNA from 1 species
GACGAACGCUGGCGGCGUGCCUAAUACAUGCAAGUCGAACGCAGUGGGGACGGGUGAGUAACACGUGGGUAACCUUCUAUCAGAGGGGAUAACACUUGGAAACAGGUGCUAAACCGAUACUGAUGGAUGGACUCGCGGUGCAUUAGCUAGUUGGUGGGGUAACGGCUCACCAAGGCCACGAUGGAUAUCCGACCUGAGAGGGUGAGCGGCCACUCUGUGACUUGGACACGGCCCAGGCUCCUACGGGAGGCAGCAGUAGGGAGUCUUCGGCAAUGGACGAAAGUCUGACCGAGCAACGCCGCGUGAGUGAAGAAGGUUUUCGGAUCGUAAAACUCUGUUGUUAGAGAAGCGGUAUCUAGCCAGAAAGCCACGGCUAACUACGUGCCAGCAGCCGCGGUAAUAC